GCUGAAUUUAAGCAUAUAACUAGGCCGAGGAAAAGAAACUAACCAGGANUCCCCCAGUAACGGCGAGUGAAGCGGGAGAAGCCCAUGCUGCCAACCGCUCCGGCGGGUUGUGCCAGGCGUGCCUGGUGAGGUCCCGGGGAGAAAUUCUUUGGAACAAGGUAUCAGAGAGGGUGACAAUCCCGUCUGUGCCUCGGGGUCCUCGCGUGAAGGCCGUCCUAGUGGAGUCGAGUUGCUUGGGAUUGCAGCUCAAAGUCGGUGGUAAAUUCCAUCGAAGGCUAAAUACGGGUGGGAGACCGAUAGCGAACAAGUACUGUGAAGGAAAGAUGAAAAGAACUUUGAAAAGAGAGUUAAAGAGUGCCUGAAAUUGCUGAGAGGGAACCGAAGGUGAUCAGUGGGGGCCGCUGCCAUUUUUCGUGUUCCGACCUCGGAGCACGCCCUGUGGCAGGGGCCCGCUCCGCGCCGUCGCGUCCGGCCGUAAGCUUGGGGCCGGGGGCGCCGGGGCGGAGGAAAUGGUCCUCUUUACCCCGUCUUGAAACACGGACCCAAGG
rnacentral:rRNA from 1 species